UCUCUCUAAUGGAGGCAAAAACAACGACAACAAAAAUAUGGGCUACAAGGUUCCUCCACACUUGUGCCUUGGCCCAACAGCAGUAAUUACACAGAUUAGAAAUAGUGCUUAAAAAAUCCUCUUUCCCAUGUGCCCCACCUCACUUCCUAGGGCCCCUCAUGGCUCCUGUUCACCUUCCUGACAGAUAAAUGCCUGUGAUCCACUCAUUCGUGCCUCACUGUGGCUCCUUGGUACUCAACCAAUUCAGCUUCCAUAUCACCCCUGGAAUAUUCCCCUGUCUCCCUUCCUCAGGGGCGGGUGCAGCAUUUUGGAGAUUUCCAAGGGAGAAGAGCAAGAUAAAAAUUGGUAAUCUGGGGGAGCAGUUUUAACAAUAAUAGCUGCAUGAAAAUAAUAUUAAUAUCAUUUGCUUAUUAAGGACAAGCCAUGGGCCUCAGUGUUUUCAGCACUUCACCUACACUAACACGUUUAGGUAAUGUUAUCCUUCUCGUUUUAGAAAUGAUGCAACUGAGUCACAGAGAAGUUAAGUAAUCUGCCUGCCGACACUCGGGUCGAUGCCGCCUCAUUCCAUCACUCGGGCAAUGGAGCCAAAGGCCACGUUCACAACCACUAGGCUGUCCCAGCCCCUUGGUGUGAUUUGUCCCUUCCUAAGCUUCAAAGAUAGCCAGGCAGGAGUUAUUUUAUAGAAUGGAAGUAAUUUCUACGGGGCCAAGCAAUAAUAAGGAAAUUGGAAGUCAAGGACUAUCUUCCGAAUGGAGAAGAAGCUCCAUCAACCACAGAAGGAAAUUAUGAUCACUCCUGCCAUCCUGCUCCUUUGUGUAUCCAGGAUGAAGGGGAGAAUUGGAGUCUUGCACAAUGAAAGGACAACAUUGCUGCCAAAACAAUCCAUCGUGACUGUAGACAUAUUUUCCACCCUCAUCCUGCAGGUUUUCUGCCAGUUGUUGGCCCCUCAUCAAUUUUGCUCCUGGGCAGUCUGAGAUGGAGAUACCCGGAGACCAAAAUUUAUACCACUCCUAAGGAGAGCAGCCAUCUUCCUCCCUGUCCUGAGCAGGAAUAAACAAAGACUGCACAAACCCUUGCAGCGGGGUAGGUGGCAGGAGAUGUUUCCAAGCUUUACACAAAGAAAAUAGUGAUGCCUAUGUACAUGUAAGUGAUUUGCCACCUCUGCAAAAGUCUGCACGAUAGCCCUAGGGGGAGAGUUCCUGAGAAACCCGAGCUCGGCUCUACAACCCUCACCUCCCUUCUGUGCCGACUCAGGAAGAAAAUAAGCCCCAGCAGGAAACUCACCCUUUGAAAUGUCAGAGUCCACGAGGUAAGGGCGAGGUGCGCUAAAGCAUCCAAAUGGCAUCACCUGCCCCAAGAACUUAUCCAAGCCCUCAUCCUGACACUGGGGAGGCUGAGUUACCUCGGCAGGUGUCCCCCACAAAUGGGAGACAAGCAGCUGUCAUUAAUUUUCAUUUGCUGAAAUCAGCAACUUAAUCCUAACUUAACCAGAGCCUGAAUCUCCCCCUUCCCAGGCAAAAGGCCUUCCCUGGGAAUGAUUGAAUUUCACAGGGUGUAAUAAAACAAAGGGAUUCUGCUGAAUCAGGUGCCAGACUCAUAGGCCUGUAAAUCACUCGCUUGCUGUUCAGGUCGGGGAUGUUAUCUCCACCCCAGCCAUCCCCUCAUGUCAUGGUGCCUGCUGUUUCCACAACCUCUCCUGCUAAGAAGAUGACCCUAGGUAAGGCAUUCUCUCCAAAUCGAAACUAGCAUGGCCCUGGGUCCUCAUUCAGGAAACUGGUGGCAGUGGGGAGCUCAUGUUACAGACACGCUCUCCAGAUUGCCAGAUCCGGCUAGUUUCAAAACAUGCCCAGGUUCUCAUUGCUGCAUGUUCAUUGAUGGGGCUGAGAAGAGGGAAAGUGGAAACCAGACCGUCUAGGGGAAUUCCAGUCCAGGUGUUCCCGGAGACCCAGGCUAUGAAUAGGAGAGCAAGGAUUGUACAAUCAAUUCUCCAGAGACCUUUAGCUUAGCAGAGUGUGUUCAAUAAAGGCUGUUGGUUAGGAUAAAGCAGAGAGCUAAUCAGCCGAGGGAGAUUUCCUUUAAGUGGGAGUUUUCAGAAUCUGGUGUUAGGCUUGGGAAGUGUCAGGCUUGGGAAGAGGCAAGAUUGACAAGAGCUCAGACCCCCGAAUCACUGCUUAUGGCCCAAUUUGACUUAGUAGAUAGCACACACAAAAGCCAGUCACUCCCGUCUCUUGAGAUGUCCGACUUUGCAUUAAGACUUCUCUGGUGAGCUCCAGGUGG
ensembl:lincRNA